GCAUCAACUGCAGAUGAGGAAUUGAGUGGUGGUAUCACAGGCAAGAUGGGAACUCGAAGUGGUGAUGGAAUCCAAGUAGCAAUGGAAUGUAAUGGAGAACAAGAGGUAGGAGCAGAGAGAUUAGUGAAGGGAAAGACAGUUUCAACAAAUCUGACAUGCCUAGAGAUAUAUAUUUUGGAAGUGGAUGGAUCAAGGCAGUAAUAGGCACUUUGAGUUAAAGAGUAGCCAAGGAAGACACAUGGUUUGGAUCGGGUGUCCAUUUUGUUGGUAGUGUAUGGUCUCAGCCACAGAUAGCAUAAACAGCCAAAAAUUUUGAGUUUUGAGUAAUUGGGAGCUGUUGUAAAAAAUUUUUCAUAAGGAGAAGAAAGGUUCAAGGUGGGUGUUGGCAUACGAUUUAUGAGAUAAACCGUUGUGGCUAAUGCAUAAGUCCAAUAACUUAAAGGAAGAUAUGCAUGAGAGAGUAAUGCUAGACCAGUUUCUACAAUAUGAAGAUGUGUACGUUCAGAAAAUCCAUUGUGUUCAGGGGUAUGAGGUAGUGUAGUGAGAUGAGAGAUACCAUUUGUUGAAAGAAAAUUGGCAAGGGCAAUGUAUUCACCACCAUUAUCGGAAUAGAGUGUUUUGAUAGGUUUAUCAAAGUCUUUUUCAACAAUGGCUUUAAAUCUAAUAAAAAUAUCCUUGACUUAUGACUUUUGUUUAAGAGGGUAGAACCAAAUAUAUCGGGUGAAAUGAUCCACAAAAAUGACAUAAUAUUUAAAUCCAUUAUUUGAUAUAAUUGGAGAUGUCCAAACAUCAGAGAAGAUAGUUUCAAGGGGUUGAGAAGAUAUAAUGGUGGACUGGGAGAAUGACAAUUUGUGGCUUUUAUUACUCAAACAAACAUUACAUGAAAAAUUGUUGGAAAAUGAAGAAGAAAAAUCAAGUUUAUUUUUGGAAACAAUCUGUUUCAGAAUAUGGAAAGUUGGGUGUCCUAAUCUUUGAUGCCACUCGGAUAGAGUUGUUUUGAUGCUAGAAAAAGCAAGCAAGGGUGGACAUACUGGCCACUCAUAAACGCCAUCUUUAGUGUUGCCCUUCAGAAGUGUUGCCCCCGUGCGAAUGUCCUUUACAAGAAAAGCAGUUGGUAAGAAUUCAAAGGAGACAUUAUUUGAGGUGCAGAAUUGAGAGAUGGAAAUGAGAUUCUUUUUCAUAGCAGGAACACAGAGGACAUUAUUUGACUUGUUUGAUGCGGCCACGAGAAGGCUUGGCGUAGGUGGUGGCUAGGAUAGUCCAUGCUUCACGGGCUGUCUUGGCUUGUGCAAGAAAUGGUAUGAUGGUGUGGGAGAUGGAACCAAUGAUUGCAUUCAAGAUCAAUUGGUCCUGUCGGAUCCAGAGGAUGUGAGCAGGGUUGGAUCUGGUUGUAUCAUUUAGUGUGAGAGUGGCUGAGGGACAUGGCUUGGUGGAGGUGAGUUUUAGAGGGGUUUGGGCAGCAACAUUAAUGCUGAUAAGGGUGUUGUGGGAGUCAUUUGUGUUGAGAAUGGAGGGGGAAGGGAUAGCCAUGGUUUGUGAUUAAAGAGAAGAGAGAUUGGGGAGAAGAAUGGAAUAUGUUACCUCUGAUUUUGCUCUGAUACCAUAACAGAUUGCAAAACUGAAUUGAUUCUCAUUGAAUAAACAACCGUAUAAAUACAAAACCAAGAGUGAUUGAAGAUCCUACAAACUAGGAAGGUUACAGCUGAAUCCUAUAUCUACUAAUGACAGCUAAAUACAUUUGAAUAUUUUUGAAUAAUACAAACUGAUGAGAAAGACUAAGUCAAGUAACUGAUUAUCUCUAUUAUAUUCGACCUUUCUGGGCAGGAUGAAAUCAUGUGACCAUACCUUCCGCAACUAAAACAAAUAGUCGGGAGGGAUUCACAUUCCACAUUCUGAAUCUUCCCAUCCAAUAGAAACUGUGAAACUAACGGUCUGUCAAGAUUAACCUCGACGGCAAUCCGAGCAAAUUUUCCCCGAGUGACUAGUUCCGUGUUAUAGUCAAUUUUGGGCACUGUUCCUACUACAUUCCCCAACAGACGAAUAAUUCUUUUAUGAUAGUAGUGCAAUGGCAUGCCGGGGAGACGGAUCCAAGCCGUAAUCUUCUGGAUUUUCUCCUUAAAGCAAUCAAAUUGUGGACUCCAUUGCUGAACAUUCAAAUAAUGACCCAAUAUAACCUAUGGCCCUUGAGUAAGAACAAACUCAGCACCAUUUCCAUGGUAUUUGAGAAAUAUGACUCUCUAAACUUUUAUUUUACAUUACAGAAAAUUAUAAAAAAAAAUCGGUUAAUUACUUUAAAUUUUUAUCUUUAGAAAAUUUUCUUAAUUAACCGUGGAUUUUACUGCAUCAAGGGUAAAAUAUUAAAAUAUAAUUGUUUUAGCGACGGGGGAAUUUUAAGGACUUUUGAAACGUGAAAGUAAAAUUAUAAUUUACUAAAACAAUAAGAGGACUUUUUUUUAUCUUUUUCCUUUUAUUUCAUUAAGUAUUUGUUGAUAUGGCUUAUUUAUUACUCAUACAUGUUUAUUUAAUAAAAAAACUCUUUUCAAAAUUUUUAUUAUUGUUUAGUUUUAUUUUUAGUAAAGCUUAUUGGGAUUAAAUAAAUUAUUUUGCCUAUAUUAAUAAAAUUUUAAAUUUACACUUUUGGAAAUAGAGGGUUGAGGAUUUUUUAAAAAGUUAAAUUGUUUAAAAUAUUCAUCAUUUACUUUAUAAUCUUAUUUUAUUUAUUUCAUAACAUAACUUUAAAAAUUUAUCUAUUAAAAUAAUUUGAAAAAUUUUAAUAAAAAUUUUCAUUAACAAUUAAAUAACUAACUUUUUUUAUAAAAAUUAAAAUUUUACUAAUAAAAAUUCUACUUAAAUAAGUUCUGAAAAAUUAUACUAAACUAGUCUAAAUAUUAGUAGAUAAACUCUCCUAAAUACUUUGACAGUUUGAAAAAAUGAAACGUCUAGGCUUUAAAAGAUACUUUGACGCGUGUGUACAUAUUAUCUAAUUUCUUUUUACCUCAUAUAUAUUAUUAAUCAUGUGGUGGUAAGAAUUAGAUAUAAAAUCUUGUGGCAGGGAGUAGCUGUCUGGAAAAUGUUUUUCAGCACUGGACAAGACCUGGAGAAUGCAGUGAAGGCAGCCUUGGAAAUGCUUCAAACCGUUGAAAAACAUGGCCUAGGAGAGAAGAAGUUUUUCAAUGGAGACAAUAUUGGCUUAGCGGACCUAGCAUUUGGAGCCAUUGCUUAUUGGUUGCAGGUCCUUGAAGAUGUAAUGGGAGUGAAACUAUUUGAAUCUCACAAAUUCCCAAGCUGGCAUGAGUGGUUUGAAAAUUUCAGGAAAGUCCCUGUAAUUGAAGAAAAUCUUCCAAAUCAGCAUGAGAUGGUGAUCGCUUUCAAACGUCGUCGGGAAACAUUGGUGACAUCUGCGUGAAUGUAUUAUCAUAAAAUAAGUUUGUGAUUCUUGCUUUGUGCUUGUUUUAUUUUUGUACUGAUGCUAAAACAGAUCUUUCUACUUUGUUUAAUUCAUUUUACUAUUGAGACGAACUGUAUGUUGGGUGCUAUUUAAUGGAUAUAAAUAAUUAAUAAAUGAAACUCCAUUUUACAUAUUUUUAUUCUCAGUUUCUCUUAACAGCAUAUAAAAAGUAAUAAGCAUGCGUUUUAAGCAUACAUUUUUAUAAGGCGCAACAUUACAAAGUUAUAUAUCCAAUUGAAAUAUAUAUAUAUAUAACUAAUUUUGAAAACUAGUGGAUAUAUCUAAUUCUAUGCUAAAAUUCAAGGAUACCACUGAACAUUUUGCUAAUUAAUUUUGAACCUUCUAACAAUUAAGACCGCCCAUGUCCCUGCAUUAUAGCAGCUAGGGAUGGUAAUGGGUAUUGGCUGCUGUAGGUUUGUCAUUACUAAAUCUUUUUGUAAUCUAUUUAGAUUUUGUCUUUAUAAAUUUUAUACAACUGCUAUCGUCAAUUAAUUAGACAAAUAAAAAUUCAAGUUUAGCAAACAAUCAAUAUGUUCAAGUCAUUAAAGCAAAACAAUUCAAAGUAGUUAAAAUAAAAUAAAAUAUAAUUAAUAUUAAGCUUGAAAAGUACAAAAUUCUACUUAUUAAAAAGUUAUUGUCUUCAUCUUAAAAUAUAUACAUAUACUAGAAGGAGCAAGGCGUGCAGCUAUAAUUAGUUAGAUUAGGUUUAAGAAUUUUGAAAACUAGAGUAAUAACUUUAACUUAUAUACUUAUAGAAAAUCUUUUGGUGGAAGUUGAUAGUCUCUGUGUUUCACAGAUAAUUUCUAAGCAGGUGGUCGUGCCUAAUGCUUUUUAUGCUAUAGUUGUUGCUGUUCAGGAAUUAUUAAGUAGAAACUGGCAAAUUUCUAUCAUACACAUCUUUCGUUAAGCGAAUUCAGCUGUGGAUUUCAUGGCUAAUAUGGCUCAUUCAGUUCCUCAUGGUUUGCAUUUAUUUACUAGCCUGCCUGUGGGUAUUUAUUCAAUUAUAUUGCAAAACAUGGUUACUCAACCCCGCUUUGUUCCGGCUUAGCUCGUUCUGUUGAGCCCCUUUUAAUAAAAAAAAAAUCUUCUAAAUCGGCGUGAGUUGGUGGUCUCAAACGUGGUCGGGAAACAUUGGUGGUACCUGCGCGAAUGUAAUAUCAUAAAAUAAGUUAGUGAGUCUUCUUUUACACUUGUUAUGUUUUUGUACUGGUGUUAAAAAUGUUCUUUCUAUUUUGUUUAAUUAAUUUUACCAUUGAAGUAAGCUGCAUGUUAGGUGCUAUUUAGUGGAUAUAAAUAAUUAAUAAAUGAGACUCCAUUUUAUAUAUUUCUAUACUCAACUUCUCUUAGCAGUAUAUAAAAAAUAAGAAGCACGCAUUUUAAGCAUACAUUCUACAAGGCGCAACAUUACGAAGUUGUAUAUCCAAUUGAAAUGGAAAAAAAAAAAAAAAAUGUAAACAACAUGGGAAUCAGAAACUAAUUUUUUGAAAACAAGGGGAUAUAUCUAAUUCUAUGUCUAAACUUCAGGGAUGCGGCUGAAAAUUUUGCUAUUUAAUGUUGCAACUUGUAACAAUUCAAGACCGCCUCCGGCCCUGUGUUACAGAAGCUGCUGAUGGUAAUGGGAAUCACUUAUUAUGGGUUUGUCAUUAUUAAACUCGCCAGUAACCGGUUGCCUUAGUUCGUUCGCUAUAAUUUUUAAUAAUUAGCAAAUCCACCCAUAACAUGCAGUAGGUUUUUUUUUUAUAUAUAAAUUUUUAUAUUUAAAAUCACAAAUAUUAAAAAAAUUAUAUUUAAUAAUUUGAAUUAUAUAAUUCAAAAUAUAACUUUAUAGUAACAGCCAAAAAAAUCUACAUAAAUUACUUAAUUUUAGAUUUUACCAAUGUAAAAGAGAAAUUAAAGUUUCAAUAUUAAAACAAAUACACAAAAUAUAUCAUUCUACCACAAAAUAUUUUUGUUGUAGGCAAAUAAUCAUUACUAAGAUUAAUGUCUUGCCCUAUCUUUUAGUUAAUAUACAAGUAUUGUCAACAAUAUUACCAAAUAUAUUUUGGACAACUAUUGACCAUUAAUUAGACAAAUAAAAAUCCAAUCUUAACCAGCAAUCACUAAGUUCGGGUCAUUAAAGCCAAACAAACAAAAGUAAUUAAAUUAAAUUAAAUUAAAAUAUCAUUAAUAUUAAACUUGAAAAACACUAAAUCUACUUAUUAAAAGUUUAUUUUUUGUGUGUGUGCGUGUGUAUACAUUUACAUACAUACAUACAUACUUGAAGGAGUAGGGUGUGCAACUGUAAUGAGUUAGUUUAGGUUUAGGAAUUUGGAAUAUUAGAGUAAUAACUUUAACUACUAUAUUUUUAUGAUUAAAUUUUUUUAAGACAAUCUUUCUGACUAAAAUAAAAGACAUAAAUAAUUAAAAAAAUGCUAGUCGGCAGACACCCGCCAAAUUUUUUCUCAAUACUAAAUCUAUCCGUAACCUGCAACGAACUUAAAUUUAAAAUACCGAACUUAUCCGUAACCUCCAAAAUUAUUCGCAGUGGACAGAUUUUUGUAGAUGGGUUUAGACAAAUUUACAUAUUUACGACUAAUUUUGCCGUCCUAAUGCGAUCGGCUAGAGGAUAGCGGUUUGCUAUUGUUCUUUAGUUCUAUAUACAAGAUAUGUCAAUGUAUUUUUGAACAACUUGCGAGAGAUAACUUCAAAUUUAUUUGCAAUCAUACUAUCACAUGAUGUGAAUUAAAUUUUGUCAGAUACGAAAGAGAAAUUGGCCCAAAAAAAAGGAGGAUUAGUGAAGUAAUUAAUAACAAUUUAUCUUGACAAUAAAAGUUUUUAUUAAAAAGUUGAUGUACAAAGAGAAAUUAUUAUGGGUCGAAAAAAAACCCAGCGUCAAAUAAAAGUUGAUGUACAAAGAGAAAUCUACUCCUCCAGCCUGGCCGACUUUUACCGCCUAAUAUUAUAUGAAUUUAUUGAAAGCUGUAAAUUACAAAAAUGAAACUGUAAGUUACCUCCGUCAAUUCCACAAAUUAAAUAAUAGGGGACUGAUAAGAUUUAAAAAAAAAAUCAUGGGUCCUGUUAUAAGAUUCACGAACUAAAUAACAGGUCCUCUAUGAUCAGGUGAUUAUUUUUAAAAAAAUGUAUUUAAAAAUAAUUUAGUCCAAUUUUUUUUAUAACAAAUUAUAUUUGCGUCCAAUGUGAACACAUGCACAAAAGGCAAAUGUCUUGUUGAUUAAUUGAUAUAUGGUCAAUUGAUCAUCAUGCAUGACGCAAAGGUCUUAAAUGUAAAACAAAUGGCAAAAUUUUGAUUAAUUAUUGUAUGGUUAUCUCUGACUGGUUGACCAAAUUAUUGAUCUCAUUGGCUAGCGUUUUAAAUUAGGAAUUGUGUCCACUUAUUUGAGUUUUAAAAAAUCUUUAUAACAUGUAUGAACUUUUAUUUAUUUCCGGUCAAAAUUUAUUUUUACUUAAUAACUACCAAUCACAUAAUUAUAUUUUUUUAUAUAAAAUUUUUUAUCAGGAGAAAAUAAUAUCCUUUAAAUUAACCUCAAAAUGCGGUUGCACACAGCGUAAAAAAAUAUUUAAUUAAAGUCAUCGCACUAGUUCUUUGAAUUCAUCAUUAAUCGUUUUAUUAAUGGAAAAUUGAAGCUUUCUGCUCAAGAAAGUGCAUACCAUAAAUCACUAUAAAUUCAGAAACAUGUGUAAUGAGUUAUCAGCUAUACUCAAGAUCGACCAAAAAACCUGAUAUUCAAAUUCAAUCUAAGAAUUAUCAUGGCUGAAGUGAAGCUUCAUGGGGCACUGCUGAGUCCAUUUGUUUACAGGGUGAUUUGGGCUCUGAAAUUGAAAGGCGUGCCGUAUGAAUUUGUUGCAGAAGAUCUCUCAAACAAAAGUGCUUUGCUUUUGAAGCACAAUCCGGUUCACAAGAAGAUCCCAGUGCUUGUCCAUGGCGGAAAACCAGUUUGUGAGUCCAUGGUUAUUCUCGAAUACAUCGAAGAGACGUGGCCACAGAAUCCCUUGAUGCCAAAUAAUCCUUAUGAUAGAGCUCUUGCUCGAUUCUGGAUUAAAUUCGCCGAAGACAAGGUUCGCUCACAACUCUGGUAAACACGUUUAUGAUUAAGUUCAUUCUUUUCAAAUGUGUUUAUUUAUUUAUUUACUUUAAGAUCUAGAUGAGGUGACGAGGAUAACGAAAUCCACCCACCAAACACUAACUCUUACUCUCCAUAUAUACUCAAACUCGGGUGAUGGCGGAAGUGAAUUCAUAGCCAGUCGAGCCCAGCCACCCAGGGGUCUCCUUCAUAUUUAUUUGUAAAAAGUUCUCUAAACUUUCAAUUUCUGGUUUCUUCACUGUUUUAUCCUUAAAUAUGAAAAGAUGUAGUAAGUUAAAGUUAACACAACCGUUUUUAACUUCACGGGGAAUUUUGAUGACUUUUGAAGCAUUGGGAGAAAGUGAAUUAAAGGAUUUUACAACUCAGUGGUUGAACUCUCUUAAUUAACUUAUUAAACCUCUAAUUAAAGGUUAUUGUGACACGUGUGCAUAUUGUCUAACGAUAUUUCACUUUUUAUAUACAUAUUAUUAAUUAAUCAUGCCGGUGAUAAAAUCAGAUGUAAAAUAUUUGUGGCAGGGUGUUGCUGUUUGGAAAAUGUUUCGUAGCACUGGACAAGAACUACAAAACACAAUGAAGGAAGCCUUGGAAAUGCUACAAACCGUUGAAGAGCAUGGCUUGGGAGAGAAGAAAUUUUUCAAUGGAGACAAUAUUGGCUUAGUGGACCUAGCGUUUGGUUCAAUUGUUUAUUGGUUGCAAGUCAUUGAAGAUGCAGUGGGAGCUAAACUAUUUGAAUCACACAAAUUCCCUCACUUGCAUGCCUGGAUUGAAACUUUCAAGCAAGUCCCUGUGAUUGAAGAAAAUCUUCCUAAUCAGGAUGAACUAUUGGUUGCUCUCAAACUUCGUCGUGAACAGUUGAUGGCUUCUGCUUGAAUGCAGUAGCAUAAAAUUUGUUUGUAUGUCUCGCUUUGUGUUUGUUUUGCUUUUGUUUUGGUGUCUAGAAACGUUCUUUUUUUUUUCUUUU
rnacentral:lncRNA from 1 species